UGGGGAAUUUUGGACAAUGGGCGAAAGCCUGAUCCAGCAAUGCCGCGUGUGUGAAGAAGGCCUUCGGGUUGUAAAGCACUUUUGUCCGGAAAGAAAUCCUUGGCUCUAAUACAGUCGGGGGAUGACGGUACCGGAAGAAUAAGCACCGGCUAACUACGUGCCAGCAGCCGCGGUAAUACGUAGGGUGCAAGCGUUAAUCGGAAUUACUGGGCGUAAAGCGUGCGCAGGCGGUUUGCUAAGACCGAUGUGAAAUCCCCGGGCUCAACCUGGGAACUGCAUUGGUGACUGGCAGGCUAGAGUAUGGCAGAGGGGGGUAGAAUUCCACGUGUAGCAGUGAAAUGCGUAGAGAUGUGGAGGAAUACCGAUGGCGAAGGCAGCCCCCUGGGCCAAUACUGACGCUUAUGCACGAAAGCGUGGGGAGCAAACAGGAUUAGAUACCCUGGUAGUCCACGCCCUAAACGAUGUCAACUAGUUGUUGGGGACUUGCAUUUUCCUUAGUAACGUAGCUAACGCGUGAAGUUGACCGCCUGGGGAGUACGGUCGCAAGAUUAAAACUCAAAUGAAUUGNCGGGGUCNUAGCUGUUUCCU
rnacentral:rRNA from 1 species